rnacentral:rRNA from 1 species
UAGGGAAUCUUCGGCAAUGGGGGCAACCCUGACCGAGCAACGCCGCGUGAGUGAAGAAGGUUUUCGGAUCGUAAAGCUCUGUUGUAAGUGAAGAACGUGUGUGAGAGUGGAAAGUUCACACAGUGACGGUAACUUACCAGAAAGGGACGGCUAACUACGUGCCAGCAGCCGCGGUAAUACGUAGGUCCCGAGCGUUGUCCGGAUUUAUUGGGCGUAAAGCGAGCGCAGGCGGUUUAAUAAGUCUGAAGUUAAAGGCAGUGGCUUAACCAUUGUUCGCUUUGGAAACUGUUAAACUUGAGUGCAGAAGGGGAGCGUGGAAUUCCAUGUGUAGCGGUGAAAUGCGUAGAUAUAUGGAGGAACACCGGUGGCGAAAGCGGCUCUCUGGUCUGUAACUGACGCUGAGGCUCGAAAGCGUGGGGAGCAAACAGG